AAGAAAGAAUGCAAGAACUGCUAAUUCAUGCCACCAUGCAUAAUCACAUGGCUUUCUU
rnacentral:tRNA from 1 species